GUGUCAGCCGCCGCGGUAACACGGGGGGAGCGAGCGUUGUUCGGAAUCACUGGGCGUAAAGGGCGUGUAGGCGGCUCGGUAAGUGGGAUGUGAAAUCCCCAGGCUCACCCUGGGAACGGCAUCCCAAACUGCUGGGCUUGAGUGCGGGAGAGGAUGGGGGAAUUCCUGGUGUAGCGGUGAAAUGCGUAGAUAUCAGGAGGAACACCGGUGGCGAAGGCGCCCAUCUGGCCCGUUACUGACGCUGAGGCGCGAAAGCUAGGGGAGCAAACGGGAUUAGAAACCCCAGUAGUCC
rnacentral:rRNA from 1 species